CUCAUUUAGUUUGAAAAAUAUCUCAUCAGAAUGUAUUGUAGUAACUUUUCAUAACAUUUUCCUUUAUAUUUUAAAACAAAAAAAGGAAAAAUUAUAAGUUUUUGCAACAAACUGUCAAAAAUUAUUGUAAGUUUUAUGUUUUGCUUGUUAGAUGGCGCACAAAGAGAACAAAAUAUACCCGCUAGUGCAUUGGUUCAAUACAAAAGGAGGAAAGAACAAAGAUCAACAAAGCAACGGGAGUCGGGACUGACAGAAAGCAUAACCGAAGUUUUCCUCUUGAAGGAUACUUCCGAAAAUUACCAUGCUUAUGAAUACAUGCUACAAAUAAAAAGGCUGCUAAUCUAACUGAAA